rnacentral:tRNA from 1 species
GGGCUGGGGCUCAGGGGCAGAGCAUUGUCUUGCAUGCAUGAGGCUCUGGGUUCGAUCCUCAGCACCUCA